rnacentral:rRNA from 1 species
UACGUAGGGUGCAGGCGUUAAUCGGAAUUACUGGGCGUAAAGCGUGCGCAGGCGGUUUGCUAAGACAGGUGUGAAAUCCCCGGGCUUAACCUGGGAACUGCGCUUGUAACUGGCAAGCUUGAGUGUGGCAGAGGGGGGUGGAAUUCCACGUGUAGCAGUGAAAAUGCGUAGAGAUGUGGAGGAACACCGAUGGCGAAGGCAGCCCCCCUGGGCUAACACUGACGCUCAUGCACGAAAGCGUGGGGAGCAAACAGG